AUUGUGAUACUUGUCUGACCCUGUCAUUCUCUACUUGUAAUGCAAGCUUUUUGACUGAGUCACUCACUCGCCUCAACAACAAUAUUUCCAAAAGCUUCACCUGAAAGUUUGCAAUUUUUAGCUGCUAUAAAAGCCUCUUCUUGGCAAACUACACAAUUCAAACACAACACUCUCUUCUUCCUUUUGCAACAAAAAUCCCA
rnacentral:lncRNA from 1 species